rnacentral:rRNA from 1 species
UACGGUGGGGGCAAGCGUUGUUCGGAAUUACUGGGCGUAAAGGGCUUGUAGGUGGCCAACUAAGUCAGACGUGAAAUCCCUCGGCUUAACCGGGGAACUGCGUCUGAUACUGGAUGGCUUGAGUGUGGGAGAGGGAUGCGGAAUUCCAGGUGUAGCGGUGAAAUGCGUAGAUAUCUGGAGGAACACCGGUGGCGAAGGCGGCAUCCUGGACCAAAACUGACACUGAAAAGCGAAAGCCAGGGGAGCAAACGGG